rnacentral:lncRNA from 1 species
AGGCCACGGCUUGAGCGCCCGUGCGGCUCCGACAGCGGUGUUGUACUGCCACCUAGCGGCCGAGCUGGAAAACGAUGCGUCGCCCGGCGUUAAGUACGGGGUUUGAGUCAAGCUGGUUGGCUCGUCAUCGAGUCCGUCGGUCAAGCGGAGCCGUCGGGGUGGCACUGGCUUUGUUCUUCAAGUGUUCCUUGGAUUGGACCUUGCCGGAAAGAGGAUAGGACUGCCGUUUGGGAAUAUCUUUACAGGAUGCAGCUUCU